rnacentral:rRNA from 1 species
UAACAUGCAGUCGAACGGCAGCACGGAGCUUGCUCUGGUGGCGAGUGGCGAACGGGUGAGUAAUAUAUCGGAACGUACCCUAGAGUGGGGGAUAACGUAGCGAAAGUUACGCUAAUACCGCAUACGAUCUAAGGAUGAAAGUGGGGGAUCGCAAGACCUCAUGCUCGUGGAGCGGCCGAUAUCUGAUUAGCUAGUUGGUAGGGUAAAAGCCUACCAAGGCAUCGAUCAGUAGCUGGUCUGAGAGGACGACCAGCCACACUGGAACUGAGACACGGUCCAGACUCCUACGGGAGGCAGCAGUGGGGAAUUUUGGACAAUGGGCGAAAGCCUGAUCCAGCAAUGCCGCGUGAGUGAAGAAGGCCUUCGGGUUGUAAAGCUCUUUUGUCAGGGAAGAAACGGUGAGGGCUAAUAUCUCUUGCUAAUGACGGUACCUGAAGAAUAAGCACCGGCUAACUACGUGCCAGCAGCCGCGGUAAUACGUAGGGUGCAAGCGUUAAUCGGAAUUACUGGGCGUAAAGCGUGCGCAGGCGGUUUUGUAAGUCUGAUGUGAAAUCCCCGGGCUCAACCUGGGAAUUGCAUUGGAGACUGCAAGGCUAGAAUCUGGCAGAGGGGGGUAGAAUUCCACGUGUAGCAGUGAAAUGCGUAGAUAUGUGGAGGAACACCGAUGGCGAAGGCAGCCCCCUGGGUCAAGAUUGACGCUCAUGCACGAAAGC